AGUGAACGCUGGCGGUAGGCCUAACACAUGCAAGUCGAACGGCAGCACAGUAAGAGCUUGCUCUUACGGGUGGCGAGUGGCGGGCGGGUGAGGAAUACAUCGGAAUCUACUUUUUCGUGGGGGAUAACGUAGGGAAACUUACGCUAAUACCGCAUACGACCUACGGGUGAAAGCAGGGGAUCUUCGGACCUUGCGCGAUUGAAUGAGCCGAUGUCGGAUUAGCUAGUUGGCGGGGUAAAGGCCCACCAAGGCGACCAUCCGUAGCUGGUCUGAGAGGAUGAUCAGCCACACUGGAACUGAGACACGGUCCAGACUCCUACGGGAGGCAGCAGUGGGGAAUAUUGGACAAUGGGCGCAAGCCUGAUCCAGCCAUACCGCGUGGGUGAAGAAGGCCUUCGGGUUGUAAAGCCCUUUUGUUGGGAAAGAAAAGCAGCAGGUUAAUACCCCGCUGUUCUGACGGUACCCAAAGAAUAAGCACCGGCUAACUUCGUG
rnacentral:rRNA from 1 species